AAAACCCCAAACAUUUUGGUUUUUUCCAGUGAAACGUGCGGCCGAGUUGGUUGGACUCCACGAGACUGUAGCAGGAAAACUCCUGGGAGAAGAUACAAAGUGUCUUCAGUGAGAUGCCUUUCCCUGCCAGCCCAAGAAACAUUCCAGGUGGACUUACAGAUCUGUUUUUUUGGGAGAUACCUGGUUUACAUCAUCUGCUUUUUAUGGACAAAGGGAUUUUUUUAUAAAACAACCAACCACCCUUUAAAGAUUUCCUUCCAAGGUGUGUUAUCCUUGGCUUCCAUGGGAUAUCCCUCAUGCUGCUGCCCAGCAAUGGAAUGACAUGAAGACUGUUUUUGAGGGAGGCAAAUUUACACAUGGAUUGUCCCGGUAAUCCCAUUUUCCCAAACGUAUCACGUGCCAAGCUUCCUCCUGAUCCCUCAGCAGCUGGGGCAGAUGCUGAUCUCCAACAGAUCCCAUUCCUGAUGCUUUGCAGAGGUCCUACAUCCCAAACUGCCUUCAAAUUUUAGGUUUUGUUACCUCAGGAACCCAAUAUCUCACCUCUCUGCACAGCAGAGGAAAACAAUCACACAAAAGAUCCCCAAAAAAAGCCCUACCAAACAGUGAGAAAGAUGGAAACCGGUCCCAGACUGCAGCCAGUGUUGAUAUCCAGCAGCUCAGGCUGCACCAGGCUUCCUGAUGGUCGUUUUCCUGCAGAACAUUAA